rnacentral:rRNA from 1 species
GGGUUGUGAGGUUAAGCGACUAAGCGUACACGGUGGAUGCCCUGGCAGUCAGAGGCGAUGAAGGACGUGCUAAUCUGCGAUAAGCGUCGGUAAGGUGAUAUGAACCGUUAUAACCGGCGAUUUCCGAAUGGGGAAACCCAGUGUGUUUCGACACACUAUCAUUAACUGAAUCCAUAGGUUAAUGAGGCGAACCGGGGGAACUGAAACAUCUAAGUACCCCGAGGAAAAGAAAUCAACCGAGAUUCCCCCAGUAGCGGCGAGCGAACGGGGAGCAGCCCAGAGCCUGAAUCAGUGUGUGUGUUAGUGGAAGCGUCUGGAAAGGCGCGCGAUACAGGGUGACAGCCCCGUACACAAAAAUGCACAUGCUGUGAGCUCGAUGAGUAGGGCGGGACACGUGGUAUCCUGUCUGAAUAUGGGGGGACCAUCCUCCAAGGCUAAAUACUCCUGACUGACCGAUAGUGAACCAGUACCGUGAGGGAAAGGCGAAAAGAACCCCGGCGAGGGGAGUGAAAAAGAACCUGAAACCGUGUACGUACAAGCAGUGGGAGCACGCUUAGGCGUGUGACUGCGUACCUUUUGUAUAAUGGGUCAGCGACUUAUAUUCUGUAGCAAGGUUAACCGAAUAGGGGAGCCGAAGGGAAACCGAGUCUUAACUGGGCGUUAAGUUGCAGGGUAUAGACCCGAAACCCGGUGAUCUAGCCAUGGGCAGGUUGAAGGUUGGGUAACACUAACUGGAGGACCGAACCGACUAAUGUUGAAAAAUUAGCGGAUGACUUGUGGCUGGGGGUGAAAGGCCAAUCAAACCGGGAGAUAGCUGGUUCUCCCCGAAAGCUAUUUAGGUAGCGCCUCGUGAAUUCAUCUCCGGGGGUAGAGCACUGUUUCGGCAAGGGGGUCAUCCCGACUUACCAACCCGAUGCAAACUGCGAAUACCGGAGAAUGUUAUCACGGGAGACACACGGCGGGUGCUAACGUCCGUCGUGAAGAGGGAAACAACCCAGACCGCCAGCUAAGGUCCCAAAGUCAUGGUUAAGUGGGAAACGAUGUGGGAAGGCCCAGACAGCCAGGAUGUUGGCUUAGAAGCAGCCAUCAUUUAAAGAAAGCGUAAUAGCUCACUGGUCGAGUCGGCCUGCGCGGAAGAUGUAACGGGGCUAAACCAUGCACCGAAGCUGCGGCAGCGACACUAUGUGUUGUUGGGUAGGGGAGCGUUCUGUAAGCCUGUGAAGGUGUACUGUGAGGUAUGCUGGAGGUAUCAGAAGUGCGAAUGCUGACAUAAGUAACGAUAAAGCGGGUGAAAAGCCCGCUCGCCGGAAGACCAAGGGUUCCUGUCCAACGUUAAUCGGGGCAGGGUGAGUCGACCCCUAAGGCGAGGCCGAAAGGCGUAGUCGAUGGGAAACAGGUUAAUAUUCCUGUACUUGGUGUUACUGCGAAGGGGGGACGGAGAAGGCUAUGUUGGCCGGGCGACGGUUGUCCCGGUUUAAGCGUGUAGGCUGGUUUUCCAGGCAAAUCCGGAAAAUCAAGGCUGAGGCGUGAUGACGAGGCACUACGGUGCUGAAGCAACAAAUGCCCUGCUUCCAGGAAAAGCCUCUAAGCAUCAGGUAACAUCAAAUCGUACCCCAAACCGACACAGGUGGUCAGGUAGAGAAUACCAAGGCGCUUGAGAGAACUCGGGUGAAGGAACUAGGCAAAAUGGUGCCGUAACUUCGGGAGAAGGCACGCUGAUAUGUAGGUGAAGUCCCUCGCGGAUGGAGCUGAAAUCAGUCGAAGAUACCAGCUGGCUGCAACUGUUUAUUAAAAACACAGCACUGUGCAAACACGAAAGUGGACGUAUACGGUGUGACGCCUGCCCGGUGCCGGAAGGUUAAUUGAUGGGGUUAGCGCAAGCGAAGCUCUUGAUCGAAGCCCCGGUAAACGGCGGCCGUAACUAUAACGGUCCUAAGGUAGCGAAAUUCCUUGUCGGGUAAGUUCCGACCUGCACGAAUGGCGUAAUGAUGGCCAGGCUGUCUCCACCCGAGACUCAGUGAAAUUGAACUCGCUGUGAAGAUGCAGUGUACCCGCGGCAAGACGGAAAGACCCCGUGAACCUUUACUAUAGCUUGACACUGAACAUUGAGCCUUGAUGUGUAGGAUAGGUGGGAGGCUUUGAAGUGUGGACGCCAGUCUGCAUGGAGCCGACCUUGAAAUACCACCCUUUAAUGUUUGAUGUUCUAACGUUGACCCGUAAUCCGGGUUGCGGACAGUGUCUGGUGGGUAGUUUGACUGGGGCGGUCUCCUCCUAAAGAGUAACGGAGGAGCACGAAGGUUGGCUAAUCCUGGUCGGACAUCAGGAGGUUAGUGCAAUGGCAUAAGCCAGCUUGACUGCGAGCGUGACGGCGCGAGCAGGUGCGAAAGCAGGUCAUAGUGAUCCGGUGGUUCUGAAUGGAAGGGCCAUCGCUCAACGGAUAAAAGGUACUCCGGGGAUAACAGGCUGAUACCGCCCAAGAGUUCAUAUCGACGGCGGUGUUUGGCACCUCGAUGUCGGCUCAUCACAUCCUGGGGCUGAAGUAGGUCCCAAGGGUAUGGCUGUUCGCCAUUUAAAGUGGUACGCGAGCUGGGUUUAGAACGUCGUGAGACAGUUCGGUCCCUAUCUGCCGUGGGCGCUGGAGAACUGAGGGGGGCUGCUCCUAGUACGAGAGGACCGGAGUGGACGCAUCACUGGUGUUCGGGUUGUCAUGCCAAUGGCACUGCCCGGUAGCUAAAUGCGGAAGAGAUAAGUGCUGAAAGCAUCUAAGCACGAAACUUGCCCCGAGAUGAGUUCUCCCUGACUCCUUGAGAGUCCUGAAGGAACGUUGAAGACGACGACGUUGAUAGGCCGGGUGUGUAAGCGCAGCGAUGCGUUGAGCUAACCGGUACUAAUGAACCGUGAGGCUUAACCUUACAACGCCGAAGCUGUU